rnacentral:snoRNA from 1 species
AUGCAAUGAUGCCUUGAAUUUCUUCACCUGAAACAAUCGUGAUGGUAUUGAGCUUUUUUAACUCUGAGCAUU